rnacentral:lncRNA from 1 species
UAUAUCAUGCAGACAGCUGGGAUUUAAAUGUUACAAAAACCUUUUUCUGUUUUUCUUCUGCAGUGGCAGACAUCCAUGCAGAGGGUGUCUCUGAGGUGAGGAAUGGGAAUCAUGGGAAAAGGAUGCACACCCAUCCCAGAUCUUCUCCUGAAGAUGUGUCCCAUCAUUUUGCUGGUAAUUCCUACCAUCUCACUAGUGGGCCUUUGAAGCUCCCAACUGGGUUCCAGGCCCCUGGGUCUCAGACUUUUGAACUUUCUGCAUGACCAGUCUGAAUGACAUCUGGACCCCUGCCUCAUUCAGUGCACAGGACAAACACAUGUGAGAGAUUUCAGAGUGCAUAUGCAGCCACCAGUUUAGCAGUUCCUGACAUGUUUUUUUCAUCUGAUCUGGUGCUUUUAAAUGAUUUUGGAUUAUCAACUGUCACACUAUAAGGAGCAGAGUAAGCACCAGUAAAUGAAGGAGAUCAUCUGGAAAAGGCCAAUGCUAAGCAUAAUAAAUCAUUAUGGAACAGAGAACUGUAAGGAAUAGAACAUCUUCCAGAUGACCAUGCUUUCUCGGCCCAGGAGACAGCCCAGUCUCUACAAGCAGCAGGACUCAGCAAGGCCCAAGGAAUGCCUCAGGUGGUGCCUCCUGUUGGCUGUUUUGGAAUGGGCUGUGCUGGUGACGGAUACAUCAGAGAUGACCUGUUAUGGGCUAACCCCAGCAGGCAGCUAAGGACCACACAGCUGUUUGCUCACUCUUCCCAAGAGUGAAGGGGAGAGACCUGGAAGGACAAAAGUGAGAAACCUCAUGGACUGAAGUAAAGACAGUGUCAU